GGGCUUGGCUUUUUCCUGCCCGUACCACUGGACAUCAGCUAGUUCUGGAUAGAGGGAGGAAUCCAGGAAACAGCUAUCAUUGUAGCUCCUGCGGGAGGCCCAAGAAAGGAGAUGAGACAGUUAGUGGAGGAGGACGGGCUCAGCCAGGCCUGCACUGAGAAGGACGUGUUCACCUUGACAGGGCCUUGUGCUAAUCACGAGUCUUUCCUGUUCAGAGCAGUGAGGCCUGAGACCCUCAACAGUGCUGUGUGUACAGAAGGCCCCCAGAAUCCACACAAAGGGGCCGCCUGAAACCUAGAGCAUUUGUGAAGGAGGAAAAUGGAAGGUAACACUUACUUAGUGCGGUGGUUCUUCAGCGUGGCUGCAUCUGGGGAGCACCUGGGAACUCUCAGAAAUACUCAUGCCUGGGUCCAAUUGGUUUGGGGUGUGUGUGAGCACUGAGAGCUGUCAAAGCUCCCCACCAGGUGAUUCUCAGAUGCAGCCAAAGCCAUAACCUCUGGGCUUUUCUCAGGGGACUUUUCCCACACGACAGCUGCCCGGGUUGUCCUCUGUGAGACCCCAGGGCUAACCAGAUGUCACUAGGAAAUUUUUAUUCUGUCCUGGAAGAGCAUUCGAAAUGUGAGGUUUCCCUGUAGUGAAACUGCGGUGGUAUUUUGAAUUGUGUUUUAAAAGUUUAAAAAAAAUCAAUGGUGACUUUGCUUUAUUCUAAAUAACACGCAUUGUUUUGUGAUUAUAAAAGUGUGUUCAUUUAAAAUACACAGGAAAGUAUAGAAGAAAAUGAAAGGGUUUUUUUUUUUUUUUUUUUUAAGUGUUUUAGGUAGGUAUCACCAUUUAGGUUGGGUAGAAGUAAUUCUUAAAUCUUAAGAAGCAGUCAUACAUAUGUGGAAGCCAAUAGUCAUUACUAGGGAUCAUGAUUCGGAAAAACAGCCUCUCUCCAGUGAUCCUGAAUGAGCCCUUUGAAUUCCUCUCCUGCAACUCAUCUCCCCAUGGGUAGUGCUAGGGGAGUGGUGAGGGAUGGGUGACAGGAAGGGACCCUAACCCAACGUAGUUCAGAGCAGGCGAGUUUUAGGAGCAUUUCAGUACCAAACACAGCUUCACGACUGAGAAUCAUCAGUGAUCCCCAGCUUUCUAUUUCAUUUGCUAACCUCUCUAGGAACAACUGGAUGUUGUAAAUGUUUCUCAUCUGGCCUUAAAAUCCACGAAAGCUGGAAAAUCCCAAGGCAUCUGUGCACAUACUGGUGGAUUUUAAUGAGAGUCCUGUGUUUGGAGCACCAGAAAUAAACCAGCUUCAGAAGCAAAGAUCUGAAUGUCUAUGACACUCUUUCAAGCUGACACAGUGAAGGAAAUGGAAGAACUCACCCAGUCUGCCAGGGUCACAGAUGAUCGUACUCAAGAUCUUCCUGGGGAGUCAAUGGCAAAUUUCACUGGGCUAUUUUACAGAUGAAGAAGGAACAUAAAGAAGGUUCUGGGACCCAGAAGUCCACGGAACACCCACCAUUACCUGAUCUCUGGAACUUGUCAUUUGGCCAGUGGACCCUAAUAAACACGUCCACGGGGAUGCGGGGAUAGAAUGCCAGAGCCUGGCUCACUAGGGCAUCCAGGUUCUUCCUCUUUGCCCUGCUGUCUGCAGGCACCAAGAAUCUCCUACAGUUCCCCAAAGAUGAACCCCCCAUUAUCUCAGGUCACUGUUUCCCCUGAUCUUUACCAAAUUCCUGACUCAGAGUUCCUCCCAUUUGCUUCUGACUCUCGUUUUAUUCUUAUAAUGUGUACCAUUUCUGUUCUCCUCAGUGUCCCUCUCUGAGUGGUAAGGGUAUGUUAAUAAGCCAGUGCUGAGACCAGAGCACAAGUCAACUGCUCAAUGUUGGUCAUUGUCACUGUUAUUAAAUGUAACUUAAGGGAA